rnacentral:rRNA from 1 species
GAUGAACGCUGGCGGCGUGCCUAAUACAUGCAAGUCGAGCGAACGGACGAGAAGCUUGCUUCUCUGAUGUUAGCGGCGGACGGGUGAGUAACACGUGGAUAACCUACCUAUAAGACUGGGAUAACUUCGGGAAACCGGAGCUAAUACCGGAUGAUAUUUUGAACCGCAUGGUUCAAAAGUGAAAGACGGUCUUGCUGUCACUUAUAGAUGGAUCCGCGCUGCAUUAGCUAGUUGGUAAGGUAACGGCUUACCAAGGCAACGAUGCAUAGCCGACCUGAGAGGGUGAUCGGCCACACUGGAACUGAGACACGGUCCAGACUCCUACGGGAGGCAGCAGUAGGGAAUCUUCCGCAAUGGGCGAAAGCCUGACGGAGCAACGCCGCGUGAGUGAUGAAGGUCAUCGGAUCGUAAAACUCUGUUAUUAGGGAAGAACAUAUGUGUAAGUAACUGUGCACAUCUUGACGGUACCUAAUCAGAAAGCCACGGCUAACUACGUG